UACGUAGGGUGCGAGCGUUAAUCGGAAUUACUGGGCGUAAAGCGUGCGCAGGCGGUUCUGUAAGACCGAUGUGAAAUCCCCGGGCUUAACCUGGGAACUGCAUUGGUGACUGCAGGGCUAGAGUGUGUCAGAGGGAGGUGGAAUUCCGCGUGUAGCAGUGAAAUGCGUAGAGAUGCGGAGGAACACCGAUGGCGAAGGCAGCCUCCUGGGAUAACACUGACGCUCAGGCACGAAAGCGUGGGGAGCAAACAGGAUUAGAUACCCUGGUAGUCCACGCCCUAAACGAUGUCUACUAGUUGUCGGGGAUUAAUUUCCUUGGUAACGCAGCUAACGCGGGAAGUAGACCGCCUGGGGAGUACGGUCGCAAGAUUAAA
rnacentral:rRNA from 1 species